rnacentral:lncRNA from 1 species
GCUCGUGUUGCUCGCCCGCGCACGACCCCUUACAUAGCCAAUAUGUAACCCAUUGUAGUAUCAGGGCUGAAGCCAUCCGCGAAAUGGCAAGUCGGCCGCACUUCCGGCGGCAUGGGCCGCGCCGCGUCGGCCCAAACGCGCAAGCACUGCCAUUGAGAAUUGAACAUAUCCUCAAGGUUGUCAAAAAUUACAUCCAUAGCGGCCGCUAGGGCAAACGCCAUCGCGGCUCGCGCGGGAUGCAGUGCCAUUGCUGUAGGCAGGGCUGCCAAUAACCCGUCAAUUAUAUACUGCGAUUCUAAGGGGAUGUGCUGCAGUUUUGGCCAUUGAAAGACAUAAAAUGGAGAUGGUUUACACAGCUCGCGCCAACGAACACAACGUCGUCGUAAUGUCCCAUGUGAACUGGGUGACUUUUUCAGGCCCACUUUUCCAAAAAAGUUUUCGCAACGUAACGUAGCAUGUGAAUCCAGUAUAACGAGGGGUUGGGCACGGGUACCGAUUGGUCACCGGUCGAAUGUAUACCAUAGGAAAGCAGAAAAAAGUGAUGUGACUCUUAACUUGCAGGUCGGUCAGCUUGGGUGGAAAUCCUGCCAGCAAGCUUAAUGCGAAAUGCGCCGCAGUUUACGGCCGUAUGCCUUUGGUGUCGAUGGCGAACGCUCCAUGAUGAUUAUUUAUCAUGGUUUCAAGAGUAAGAGACGUUUGCCUGACUGACUCGGCUAGUGGAAAAUGGCAGUAAACUCAGAGCGCACCGGAAGAUGAACUCCUCACGCAGGUCAUCAUGAAACACGAAAUGCACCCCAGAACGAGGCUGUUCCGAGAAUGGCAAAGAAUUGAGGUCCAAUGGAAGCAGAGGGGCCAUUGACCCAGCUUUCUAAACAGAGCCUUAGAGAAGCUGUGGGUGAGGUUGUGGGAACGACGACUGGCGCUGCAGGCAUGCCGUUCCAGCGCCACCACCUUUGACUUAUCAUGAAUGCCCCGGGUCUGCCCUCGCUGGUGUGAGACGUAGUUGCCCUGGCGGCCCUGGCGGGGCCUUGAAGCGUGGUCGUCAACGCAUCAACCGUGUCUGGGAUUCUCGCACUGCCCUCUCGCGCGCGAAGCUGGUGGGCAUUGCUACUGAAGUCAAGGCUGAUUUCUGGGCACGUUUUGUGUCAUUCGAGUCGUUGGGCGUCCCCCCCCCAACUGGGAAGCUGUCCCGUCACAACCAGUUCCUGGCGUGUGUGUUCGGUCCCUUGUCUUCCGGGGACCCCCAACUCUGCCUCCCCGUCCCCGUCCCGGCGUGCGUGACGUUGUACGGCGUGGUCGUCGCUGUACUUGGAUGUGUUGACUCUUCAUGCGUCACGUGCAAUGCUCGGACUGUGUUACAGACCCUUGAUGGUAAAACCGCUGGUAGGCAUGGUGUGGAGCCUGUCGGUGGCUUCGGUUCCUAUGUCGUGGUAGUCUGUUCUAACCCAGGUCUCACUGGGUGCGCCCCCUGCCUUAAGUCGCUGGUCCGUACAUCAGUUAUAGCGGCCGGACCAUUUAAAUUUGAUUUCCGUUUUGAUUCUCGCUUUCCGAUUCCAGAUUUUUUUGAGUCACCCUUAACUGCUGCGCUGACACAGUCGACAUAAAUUUGCUUUCCUCGCUCGUCUACAAUGACCAGGCCUAUCCACAUACAAGCGACGUCCGCACGGCUGACGUCUUCGUGCUUACACGUCGGGUCAAAGCACCGGGCAUUCCACGCAACUUCCUAAGCGGGACGUGAACGGAGUAAGCCCGUACUCUUCUAGCAAACAUUCAUGUAUUCUUAUUGCCGACUAUACGGCCUGCUAAAGCGUACGCUCAUGCGCCCAUUCCAGACCGCGUUACUCCUAUGUGUUGAAACAUGCCCGCUGUCAAAACGCCACUUUCUGAAGGGCCCUCCCGAAACACGCGGUUUUUAUGACAGGUCCCAGGUGUAAAUAGAAACAACCCAUGCUUUUCACUCUGGCAGGACUUUCCCAAGAGCACACUGUACUUUCCACUUCAUACACUGUGCCCUAGCCGCCGCCCUGCCAAGGCACUCACCAACAUGCCGACAGGACAACACUUGGUCGAGGUCCCACUCGCCCAUCAGCACAUGCAACCGGACACAAGCGACUGACGCUCAUUGGCAAGCGUGUUCACAAGCACUUAUGACCGACACCCAAGGCAUCUGCUGCGCCCCCUCUUCCGCCUCAUGAUUUCAGCCCCCGCUGUCUUCUCGCAUCCAUAAUGCAGGGAACAGCCUUCGUCCCAGUGUGUCUGUCCUGUUGCAUGCAUUUGCUCUCCCCAAUGCCCAAUCGCCGGGCCAGCUCAUAAAACAUAGUCAGUUAUGCUUCCGAAAUAUAUCCACCAGGUGUGGG